rnacentral:miRNA from 2 species
AUAGCCAGUUGGGGAAGAAUGC